rnacentral:misc_RNA from 1 species
GAUGAAGAACGUAGCGAAAUGCGAUACGUAAUGUGAAUUGCAGAUUUCAGUGAAUCAUCGAAUCUUUGAACGCACAUUGCGCCCGCUAGUAUUCUGGCGGGCAUGCCUGUUCGAGCGUCAUUUCAACCAUCAAGCCCUAGGCUUGCGUUGGAGCCCUGCGGCUGCCGCAGGCUCCCAAAUCCAGUGGCGGGCUCGUCGUCGUACCGAGUGCAGUAAACAUCCUCGCUCAGGGAACGUGACGGGUUCUUGCCGUGAAACCCCCCACAUAUCAAGGUUGACCUCGGUUCAGGUAGGAAUACCCGCUGAACUUAAGCAUAUCAAUAAGCGGAGGA